CUUGUCUGGAGAUCCUUUCUUCUGGUGUUUUUUGUAGGUGAGCCUAGCAUAUGGAGGGUUAACUGCUGCCAGUGAGUGCUGGUUAGAGAGUGGGAUUCCUUGCAGGUGAGGGAAGGGGUGGUGCAGCAGGAAAGUGUGCAGCCGCCGCACUCAAAAGAGAACAGCAAACCCCUCAACAUUAGGCAGAUCAGAGCCUGUGUCAGCGGGGUGCUCUUACAACAAGGGACUUUAUUACAGCUUAUCCAACUCUUGGCAAGUUCUCAAUCUGGAGAACUGGUUUGUACUACAGAGAUUGCUGCUCUGUGUUGCAUGCUAAUGGAGAUGUAUAGCUGCACCUGAAAAGCCCUGGGAGCAAACUGACCUGCAAGAGAGCAACCCACCUAAGCAGUAAGCUUGUAGCAGACCUCACAUUCAGCCCCUCACACUUAUUCCUCUCAUCUAUAGUUACAGUUUCCCUGCUUGCCAUGGAAUAAAACUCAGGAAUGCAGUUUCCAGGCCCCUGCCUUGCCAAAAUUGAGUGUGUUUGCCUCUUCUGCCCUGAGCGAGCAUUAAACCCCCUUUAAGUUCAAUAAAUACUCCCCAGGCCUGGCCAGCAAGGUAACUGGAGGCUGCAUCGCUUGUCACUGCAGAUGACACAUGCCUCUCUCUCAGGAUGUGGUUUAAUGAGCUUCUUCAUGGUCUCCCAAGGCAGAAGUGUAUUUAUGGCACAAGGGGAGAUUUAUAUAGUUUUUCUUUAAAAUCUGUCAGCUAAUAAUAGCUGUGGCUGGGGCUGGGUUGUGCCGGUCUCGCACACAGGUAUAAAUCAAGGCUGUGUGCUCAAGCCCUACCAUCAUUUUCUCCCAUUUGGAGACCGAGUAGAUAAUAUUGUGUGCAAAACGUUUGCACCCAAGAGAGAAGGAUAGAAAGACAUUCCAGCUGAAUUAGCAAGGCCCCAAACCUUACCUACAUCCUUGCCUUUCCCUGCUGCCCCAAACCACCUGGACCACCACACUGCACACCCAUCCCCUGGACCGGCUUGCAGGCCAGCUCUCCAAGCCAGCACCAAGGCAGGUUACCAGCAGAAAGAGGCUAUCCAGGACUCAUCUUCACCCUGCCAAGUGACCCAAAUCUCUCCAGCCUCAACCAGCCAGCCAAGCCAAUGAAAUGCCGCUCACUGUCCCCUGGCGCUGCACAGCCCUGAAUAGCACAAAUGCCCACAGGACAGUUUUUUCAAACAAAACAGAUGCACAUUAUUUUUUAUCCAGGAGGUGAAGGGGGCUGAAUAAAAUAGCUAACAGGUACCAGAGGGACGAGUUCUGCUAAUUCUGCUCAUGAUAAAGGUCUUUUAAAAUGCCUCUGGUGCCUGAAGCGCUGAUGAGACUCAGGUUUGCUGAUUCGUGGGCCGCGGGCCAGGCUCCCUCUGGAGCCCAUUAGAUGUCCUAUAGAUAGGCAGCUGGAUGCAUGGCACAUGGUGCAGCCACGCCAGCCACAAGCUGAAAAGCAUUACUAAGCAAGAGAGAUUUCCCAUUUCUGACAACAGGGCCAGGGAGGGGGUACAGCUUCUGGAAACCACAGCAGAUUAGCUCGUGGGGUUUUUUGUUGCUCUUCAUACCACGUUAAAUAUUUUAGCACGGAGCUAAACAACCUGAGGAGGAAGAAUCAUAGAGCCACACAAUCACA